GUAUGGUCCAAGAACGGUCCCUUUCUUUUCUAGAAUGUUAAUUAAUCAGGGUUGUUUUUGAAGCCCUAGAUAUCGCAUGCAUCUUACUUCUGGUUGAAGCCUCUUAAAUCUAAACAUUCAAGCAUCAGAUAUGCAAGGACAAAGACGCGAAGCCUCAAGUGUGGUUAUCGGCAAUUAUAUCGCAAAGAGGAGUCUACUUGAUGUUGUUUUG